rnacentral:lncRNA from 1 species
AUGACAACUUUGACUAGAACAUCAAGAGUGGGAGAGUAUCCAUUCAACUACAAACUUGCCCGAACCAUGGCUCUCUGCUUUCUCCUCCUUGCCUGGUUGUUGCCCAAGGGAAGACUACAGUCUGGGAUAAACUCUGCUCUCCAACAAACGUAUCACACAUAUGAUGUUUCUGAGCUUGUGCCUCUGCAAGGCCAUGCACUCUACUGCGCUGAGUCCAAGAGAAGAUUUCCAAGUGAUUGCCAGUGA